GUUGACUCAGCCUUCUGUCAUUCUGACACAUAAAAUGAGGACCCAGUUUGUUGGGGACAAUAUGCUGACACUGUCAAUCAAGUGGCAUAAAGCACUUUGGGGUCUUAUAUACAUAGUAUAUAUGUCUGAUUGCUAUUGCUGUAAUAAAUAGCUUUAAAGAUAAUGAGCUUGAAUUGCACCUUAAACGGAUGCUGUAUAGCUUGCACCACAAAGAUGUUACAUGGGUAACCUAGGAGCCUCCCUUACUAUGUGCGCUGUUGUGUUCUGGACCAGUUGAAGUGCAGGAAUUCAAACAGGAGGUGACCAAGGCAAGAGUGACCCCUUGUGCAAUGCGUCGCGGUCCAGAAAAGGCCACAAUUGGCACCCAAGAUGAAUCUGUUGAAAGCCCCUCCCCCAGCCAUGCCCACCUCAAGCAGGAGUUGUGAGUCCAGGAGGGCCUCCAGUUUGUGCAACCAACUCAGUCACCACAGGGGAUCAUAUGACCCCAGAACACUACAACUGUCGCAAAGAGAAGUACAUUGCCCAGUCUGAAUUAUUGAUCAUGUGACAAUGCUGCUGUGGCCUUUAAGUGUGAAAAAUGGUCAUGUCUUUCUUUUCAAUGACUUUGUAACUUCAAAUGAUCACUAAAUGAAGCAAAUUGAGGACAGCCUGUACAUAAUUGGAUAUCAUAAUUGGAUGGACGGUCUCACCUAACAGUUCAAUUGUAGGUGUUAAACCUCGUUGCUUGCUCAGGGUAAUCAUGGCAGUUCCAGCUUCAAGAAUGCAGAGUGGAAAAUAAUAUUUCCUAUCUAGAUGGGUUUGGAAGCAAUGUGGGUGGCCACUUCAAGGUUUCAUAUUUCAUUUUUCUGUUAAAGGGAGAUUAAGCUGGCAAUCAUUUAAGGCUGCAGAUACAAACAAGACCUUUAUCAACUUUUAUAAUGCAGCACCUGGUAGUCUUGUGAAGCUAAGUAGCGUUAAGCAUCACUCUUCAAGCUUCCCUCAGUGGCAAAUAUCGUCUUGGGGAGUUUCCUGCACCCCCAAGAGAAAACUGGCUGGAAGGGCUUUCACUGAUUCAUAAGGGAGGAGCCCUUUCUCCUUGCAUGGUGGCACUCCCCCCCCCCCCAGAUGCUUUCCCUUGGUUUAGUUCCUGCAAAAGAAGCUCCUGGCUCAGUUGCCGGGACAAUGAGGGCAACCCUACCAGACCCCAAAGGACAGACUAGGGCUAUAGCCGCCUCUUCAACACCUUAACUAUUACAGCUUCAACCAUUUGCCAAGGUAGGUUUGGGGGAGUUCUGCACCUCCAUCACCACCCAAACUGCAAGGGAGGUGCAUAUUCAGGUUGGCUAUUGGACGCUUUCCUUUGGUUUAGUUGGAGCAAGAGGGACAGUGAGUGAACUCUUGGGAGACCUGAAAGAAAAGGUAUUAGAUUGUCAUGGACGAAAGCUGUUCCUGUGCUAGGUGGGGGAUCGAAUGCAUCACACCGAAGGAAUGCACGAAAGCCUCUUGCAAAAGCUUCAGGAUAGAUAGAACGAGGGUGAUUUUCAACCCUAUGUCGCUAGAUGGCGCUCUACAAAGAAGCAACACUCACGCCUUAGGAAGCAGUAAACAGUACAGCAGCGGCACCGCUGGUUUUAACAUUAUACCGGAAGGAGAGAGGCCGAGCUGGAACGAAUUGAAACGAGAGAGUAUUAGAUUGCUAGAGAGGACGUGAAGGAAAGGAGAGCAGAGGAACUUUCCCUUCCGGGUCACAUAGGGGGAGUAUUUUGGUGUUGACGGACCCUCUUGUGUUGUUUCAAGGGUGGAAGCGGCUCCUGGGAGACAAAGAGGAUGCCAAGAAGAGCACUCUGGACAACAGAUCAUUAAAAACAGAUAUAAAAUG